AGAGCGAACGCUGGCGGCAGGCUUAACACGUGCAAGUCGAGCGGGCGUAGCAAUACGUCAGCGGCAGACGGGUGAGUAACGCGUGGGAACGUACCUUUUGGUUCGGAACAACACAGGGAAACUUGUGCUAAUACCGGAUAAGCCCUUACGGGGAAAGAUUUAUCGCCAAAAGAUCGGCCCGCGUCUGAUUAGCUAGUUGGUGAGGUAACGGCUCACCAAGGCGACGAUCAGUAGCUGGUCUGAGAGGAUGAUCAGCCACAUUGGGACUGAGACACGGCCCAAACUCCUACGGGAGGCAGCAGUGGGGAAUAUUGGACAAUGGGCGCAAGCCUGAUCCAGCCAUGCCGCGUGAGUGAUGAAGGCCCUAGGGUUGUAAAGCUCUUUUGUGCGGGAAGAUAAUGACGGUACCGCAAGAAUAAGCCCCGGCUAACUUCGUGCCAGCAGCCGC
rnacentral:rRNA from 1 species